GAAAAAUAACUUUAAAACAGCAAAUGGAUACUAAUCAAAGUUCCUCAGUGCUGAGGGACUUGGUGCGGAAAUGAGGAGAAAUAUGACUGACAACAGGGAGGCCUUCAGGAGGAAGGCUUGCUGCCACUUCUGAGUCGUGCCAGAGGAGUGAAGUUUUCAAGGUAGCCCACACAUCCAUUUGGGUUGUUUUGUAUAUUUUUAAAAAUGAAAUAUUUUCAGAAACAUCAGUAAAAAUGCUGUGGAAAAUUGCUGAAUGGGACAGAAUAAAAGACACCAACAUGAGUGGAAGUAGAGGUGGGAAAAAGGACCAUGCUGGAAAGAAAAACAGCAAGGAAUCCCACCCCCUUCUUUCUCUUGGCACUGUUGCCACAAAUAUGAAGAAAAUUGCUUUGAAAAAUUGGGAGUCUCUCCCUCUGAACUGGAGCUUAAUUAAGCCUUGUCAGAGCCAGAAGUCUGAGGGCGCUCUGAGCCUGAAGACGACCCCAGAUUUCUGCUGUAGCCUUUCCAUCCCUGAGCAUGCUCCGCCUCAGAAAAGUGGUGAUCCCCCAACAGUGCACAAGACUGUGUAUGGACGGAGCCCUGCUCUGUGCUAGGCCCGGCAGUGCAGGUAAUGCAGCCUUCUCGCGCCACCUGCUGGCUGUCUUUUUUAUUGCACAUUAAAUCACGACAAAAUUCAUACACAUAGUACAAAAUGCCUUGAAAGUUUGAUGGGACAGACAACAAAACGUUAAAAUUUAUUUUCUCCAUGUGGUAGGAUUUAGGGGGGCUUUCCGUUUUUAAAUGUUUUUACGUUUGUUAAAUUGUCUAAAAUGAAGUGCAUCGUUGUGUAAUCAGUUUUUAAGAAAGCAAUAAAAUUUGCCUUCCAAUUUGCAAAAAUUAUUAUUCUACAAUUCAUUCUGGCUUCAUUUUUACACUUAAGUCUUUGAGCUUCUUGGAAUUUAUUUCGUUUAAGGAAUGCGUUAUGGAUCAGAUUUUUUUCCCCAAGAUGGCUAACUGGUUGUCCCAACCUCUAGCAAUGAUAGGCAUCUUAUCAAAUAAAUUAUGCUACAGUCACCCACUGGAAUAUUAUGCACACACAUAAAAGAAUGAAGAAGCUUUAUGUCAUGUGCUAAUAACAGAUGCUCAUAACACAUUAUUAGAUUAAAAAAAGCAAAGUAAGGAACAGUUUGUAUAAUAUGAUCUCAACUAGUUUAAAAAAAAGAAUAUAUGCAUAAUGUGUGUUUGUACUUAUCUGCAUUCUUGUAGAUUCUUAAAAACUUUCUGGACAUAAACAAAAGAGGCUUACCAAUGGUUUAAUUGUUCCAGAAAGAAAUGAGAAGAAGGAAGGCAGGAAAGGAAGCAAGCAGGAUUUUACUUUUCCUUUAUCCCUUUGUUAGUGGUUUAAUUUUUUUCUUUAUAUUCCUGUAUUAAUUUUGUUAUGUUUUAUAACAUAUAAAUGAAAAUAAAUGGGACAUUGACUUGUA